rnacentral:lncRNA from 1 species
GGUUACAUCGGUUUUUACUCCUAAGUUCUAAUCGUCGACAUGUAUAAAUCUCGAUUUUUGGUAUAGUCUAUUCUAGCUCGAAUUCAUGGAUUAUGUUAUAGAUUGCAAAUCUGAAUUUGGAGCAUGUGGUAAUAAAUUGAGUAGUUUAUAUAUGUUGGACUUGGAAUUUGAAUUAGGAGAAAACCUGCGAUUUGGACUUGUCACUUGUUUAAACUGCCUGAUUUAGCUCUGGGAGCCGUUAUAAAAUUGUACUGUCGCAGUAUUCUCGAGACGAGUACUCCAGGUAGUUUAGCAUACAUUUAUACUUGUGCUGGUACGCCGAGUGGAUUUUUACAGGGUCGGUUGGGCUGUUCCG